GGUGACCUAGUGGUUAGAGCGUCCGACUAGGAUGCGGGAGGUUGCUGGUUCGAUCCCCGGCCGCG